AACGCACAUUGCGCCCGCCAGUAUUCUGGCGGGCAUGCCUGUUCGAGCGUCAUUUCAACCCUCAAGCUCUGCUUGGUGUUGGGGAUCGGCAUAGCGCCUCUGGCGCCGCCGUCCCCUAAAUCUAGUGGCGGUCCCGCUGUAGCCUCCUCUGCGUAGUAGUUUUCUCCUCGCACCGGCAGCUUGGCGGCGACCUCGCCGUAAAACCCCCAACUUCUGAAAGGUUGACCUCGAAUCAGGUAGGAAUACCCGCUGAACUUAA
rnacentral:misc_RNA from 1 species